GCAUCUGAAAUUCCAAUACCGGCUUAAUGAAGCACUUGUGUUUUGUUAUCUCUGCAAGAUAAAAGAAAAAUCUAAAUUCUUCCUUCCAUGUGGCCAUUUCUUGACCUGUGAAGACUGCGCUUUGGCCUACAGUCGCUGCCCCUUGAGAGACUGUGGAAAGAAAAUAGACAGCACAGAAAAUGCACGCUUGAAAUAAAUUUGAGGAAUUUAUAGAUACAUGAAGAAUAUGGGCUCCUAUCCUGUCGAGAAGAUGGAUAUUAUUUAUGUAAAACUUUUUUCAUAAAAGAAGGAAAAUUAGAGCACCAAAAUAUUAUUUAACGGAUUUCACUUCUACAAAACUUUUUUAUGUGUUAUAAUUAAUUGUUACAUCAUUUUUUUCUUCUUAAAGUACAAGUAUGUCUCAUUUUAAUUUUUUCAUUUUUUAAAAUUAUGUUUCAAUACAUUUUAGAAGUGUUCAGGGGAGAUAAGACCCUCUGUUUGUUUAUAUUAUGUGUGUGUUGGUUUGUGAGUGAGUGCGUUAAUUCUGUGCAAAACGGAUUUCGAAUGAUGUCUUGAUUUAUACGUAAAUAUGCUCUUUGUGAGAUCACACUGUUUGUUUUUUGUUAUAUUUUUUGCCUGCUUUUAGUCUAAAUAUAUACUCAUCAAGGACA